rnacentral:lncRNA from 1 species
GGAAUCUCCUUCACUUUUGGUCAAAGUUCUACAAUAAAUCACUGCUCCUAAGGGUUGUUGCCAGGAUGAUGUCACUAUCCUUUUUUUUUCCCCUGGGGCUUUGGAAUUCUUCUAAGAAUCACCUUAAGGUCCAGCUAAGUACAAAGAAGUAUUUACCAGACAUAUCCUUCCUGUGUGGAUUUACAUGCCCAGAUAUAUGUGCAAAUGCCAAAGUAUUCUUAGUCUUGUAGCUGAUAUUACUUUGGAAAUAAAGAGAGAUUUAUACAUCAAAAAUGAACUUAAAAUGACAGCUCAAUAAGAGAAGGAGUCUAUAUUGUAAGACAUUUUUUUGAGAUCAAGAUCUAUAGUGAAAAAAAUUAAUAUACACCAAACCCUGGCAAGGCAAAGAGAGUGAAUUUUCCUUCCAAAUCUUUCCCCGAACUCCAGCAUAAGAAGUUAUGCACCUGACUCUUGUAAAUUUAACUCUAUUGACUUUUUCUAAACUUUGAAUUACAAAAGCUUCAGGAGAGGGGUCCAGGGAAAGGGAAAAGAAGACCUAUUAUCAACUGAGAUUCCACUGGAAAAAAUUUCUAUGGAAGCUGCUUACUGGCUCCUUGAUGGGUUAUAGUCUAGCUUGGUCUCUUAAUUUAUUGUCAUCUAAUACAAAUAAAUUUAAUUGCUUUUCAUAACUGUAAGAGUAUCUUUUACUCUUUUGAGGUUGGGAAAAAUAGGUGAUAGAAAAGAAAAGAGGAAAUAUCCAGAUUUCUGCCUGCCUGCAUAUAACCGCAAUUAAUAAAGGGUGUGUGUUUCUACAGAUAUACAUCUGUUUAUUUAACAAAGUAUUUUUUUUGCAGCAGGUGCUUUUCUAGAUACUGACAAUAGGGGCACCUACAAGAUGCCACCUUUGUGUGGAAGAGACAGUAAAGAAGUAAAUACACAUAUUUAUGAAGAUGGGGUGAUAAGUGCCUUUUUAAGAUGGUUCAUGAGAUGAAGGAUGAUGGUGAAUGGUGGGAGGGUGACAUCUGAACAGAAACUAGCAUGGAUGAAGCUUUUAGGAGCUAGGAAAAGUCACCCUAGCAGACAGCACGUACUAAGGCAGGAAGAUGGAAAUGAUGUUGGUAGUUCAAGGAAAAGCCCAGCAGCCAGCUGGGGGGCUGGAGAGUAGAAAGAGAUGACGAGGUGAAGUGACAGGCAGAGGCCAGUUAGGAUAGGGCUUCAUUUUCUUCUGAUCUGAUCUGUACUCAGUUUGGUUGUCAGUGAAGACUUUACUUGAGAAGAGCAAUAAAGGAAGCAGAAGGACUAGUAAGGGAAUGGUUCUAAUUUUUUAUUCUUUGGCGGCGCCAGUGGCAUGUGGAAGUUCCCAGGCCAGGGAUUGAACCUACGCCAUGGCAGCAGCCUGAGCUGCUGCAGUGACAAUACAGGAUCCUUAACCCACUGUACCACAAGGGAAAUCCAGUUAGGGAAUGUUUUAACUAGUCCACGUGGGAGGUAAAAUGGCUUUGGUUAGGGUGGAAAAUGGCCACCAUAAGUGGUUGUGUAGGAGGUUAUUGUGGCGAUCUGGCUGAUAGGAUUUGAUGAUGCUUUGGAUACGGGAAGUGAGGUGAAGACACCAGACUAUCUACAGCUAUUAUCACACCACUUCUCAUACUUAAGGGAUUGUGGUCAAGCCAGCCAACAGAGAUUUGCCCAACCUUCCUCAUGGCCAUAGGGUGUUCAAUAAACUAUCAUCCUGUAGUUUAUUUCUCCCAUCUCCAAAUGAGGAAAAUUGAGAUUGGUUUUUGACUAGAAAUGCUGAAAUGAAUGUUUUGUCCAAGUAACUGUGCAUUUGUCAGCUUGUUUCCAAAAGGCAUUACUCUAAGUUGAAUUGUUUGGAUCAAAGAGUUAUUCACCUUUAAGAUUCAGUGCACCAUUUGGUCCUCCCUCACUUUGCUUUAAGGCACUCGUGUGAUGUAAAAACUCAGUUUCACAAUCUUCCUCAGCAGAUGCAAUGUGGGCAUGUGUAUCCUCUUCAGCAAUGGCUUCUCUGGAUAAAAUGGUGACUUUGGAGACAGCAUGUAAGGAGAAGGAAAUUUUCCGAGUGAUUUUGGAGGGAAGACCUUUGGAUUGGGAGGUUUUACUCCUUAGGGUAUGUGGCCAGGAUUUCCACUCCCAGCUAACUUUUGGUCCCUCUCGGCUCACAGCCUGUCCUAGAGGAAGGCCAGUCCAUGUCGUCAUCCUCAAGGUGACGUGCACGUGUCCAGACCCAGCAUCAGGAAUCUUUAAAGGGAAGGUAGGAUGUUAUGGAGAAAAUGGGAGAGAUACUAAAAUACAAAAAAAGAGAAACAAAACCCCACCUUUUAAGUGGUUCCCAGAAUAAAUGGCAGAGCUAAAGACAAAGAAUGGUAAGCGGGCAAAACUGCCUAUAUUCAGAUCUGAGCACUGCCACUUCCUACCUCUGUGUUCUUCUCAAGGUUAUUUUACUUCUCUGAACCUCACUUCUAUCACUGAUAAAGCGAGUUGUUAACCCUACCUUGUGUGAUUAACAUACAUAAGGGUGUUUGUCAAGUACAUCGAAAUUUUUAUAGCAGCUGUUUACUAGACACAUAUCGUGAGCCAACUUGUGACUAAUUGCCUGGUAUCUAUUAUCUCAUUUAUUCCUCAUAAUAACACCAAGGUGGAUAAUAUUUCUAUCUCAUAUUUGAGGUGAGGAAAGAGAGUGUUGAGACAUUUCGUGACUGGUUGAAAGGCACAGCACUAAGAAGUGGUAAAUCCCGAAUGUGAACGCAGGGUUAUUGGACUGCAAAGGAACACCUUGUCCUAAGCACAUUCCAGGUGCUUGGUUUUAACUCUGCCCUUGAUGGAAUCUGGUAAGGGGUUGUGGUAGAAGCUGGUUUUGUAUCCAGAAUUUGGGAGAAAUCAAAAUAAGCCAAAAUGCCUUUUUUUCUUGAUUUCACCUAUCUGCUUCCUACCCAGAUGUUCCUGGCAGACAGAGUUUAAGAUGAUCAGUUAGAGUGUAUGACACAUCGAUGGUGGGGUUCUGUAUCCAGUGGGAGAUGGGAGAUAAUCCAUUGGUGAGUGAUUCAGAGAUGUCCCCUCUUCUCCAGCCUUCCCGCCUGACUCAUAAUAAAGCAAUCGGGGGCCUUUCAGAAAAGUUGCGAAGAGAAGCUUUGCCAUUUCUUCCAUCCCACGUGUGGGGAACCCACUUGCCUGACUGGCGUAGUUAGGAGAAGUAUUGGCAUGCAUGGAUCCCACUCCUUCUGGGCUGGUCAGCCUGGACGUUAGCCGGUGUGUUCUCUUUUAUGCGGACCCAUCGUCCAAGUAGAACGCAAACCUGGGCUGGGCCCUGGCCAGGCCUGGAGUUUUUCUCACCUCUUCACUGGUCUCUUGAACUCUUAGAUGGACAAUGAACAUAUCAGAACUGGGAAAUGACGCUGACCCUGACACUGGCAAUCUUACUAUAAAGCCCAGGAGCUUCUCUGUAUCUUGAUUAACUGGGAUAGAUUUGAUAAAAAGAAAAAGCACCUGACCCUCCUUCGUUCCUUACUGAUUUGGUCACUCUGUCCGGCAUGCUUAUUCUUUAUAUUAUUAAUCCCCAUUGCCUCCAGUUCAUCAGCUUUCUUUAGAAAUAAGAGAUGGAGAGAUAAGUCAAGAGAGGCAUUCCAAGAAAGAAUAUUUCUUAGGAUUAUAGACCUAGAUGUUUCAUCAGAGAUGCUUAGUCCUUGAGAUCCUGGAGAGGGAAUUAAAUAAUACUCACGGGGACAU